UCGUUCAGUUGUCAGGGAAAUCAAAACAAUAUCAAGCGGGAACAAAACGGGCCGAGACCUACCGUAACCGUCAAGAAGUUUGUUUCAGUAAAAAGGGGACCCUAAUUGGAGUGAGACUUCACCAUUGAGAUGCUCCUGUCGGAUAUCACACAAUCGGCCACCUGCACAUGACACAAAUUAUGUGUCCGUACAAGACGACUUGUCAACGACUCUUUGGGACAUUUGUGAAAACAGGAGGACAGCCAGCCAAACCGACUCCCGUUUAUCACAAAAUAAAGACAAAUGUUCAUUUGAGGUGAACUGCAUUACAGAAAUGCCACCCUGCGGCAAAGCACAAAAAUCACCAGGAUAUGGGGUUGGGGUGAAGGAAGAAAGUGAACACGCUCAGAGUCCCUCAAGGUGCUAACUGAACACGAGUCUUUUCCAGGGCAGCACCUGGAGACUCCGUAUCCAGUGUUUGUGACACGCUGUUGCCCAUGGCUGCCUUCCAGCAGUGCUUCUUCAGGGAUCCGAGCAUGUAGAACAGGAGCUGGAACAACCGCCCGGAAUCUUCAGCCACGCGCCGCCUGAAACUUUAAUGGUGACACGAGGAACGAGUCGUCCAGAUGUGAACAGGGAAUACCUCCGUGAUACGGACAGCAAUCCCACCUCCUGUGAGUGUUGUACGAGUAU
rnacentral:lncRNA from 12 species